AUGCCCUUCCAUGUGUAGCCACCAGAUGAGCUGGUGACAACUGCAGAUGAACCUCUCUGGAUGAUCUCAGUAGGCGAUGGGGCUCAUAGUGAAGAUGUUCUCUUAAAUACCCUGGGCCUAAAUUGUUUAGGGCUUUUUUGUUUGUUUGUUUUGUUACAUUUUUAUUCCACCCCAUCCAAAGGCUCUGGGCAGUGCCUUUAAGCAAAGAAGAAGAAAUUUCUCUGAAGGCAUUUUCGGAGCAUGGAAAGUGGCCCUAUGAGUGGGUUUACAUUGAACUCAUUAUGAGUGGAUGUCUGGUCUCAGUGUCCUCCUGCUUAUGCUGAUGUAUGUCCAGAGAUGGGAGAAACUAUGUAGUAUAAUACUGCAAGUACAUAUAAAGGCUACAUUUGCCUGAGGCAUGAGUCUCUGGGUCAUGGAGAAGGAACAUGUAAACAGCCAUCUGAUACAGCCUGAUAAAUAAUGGAAAACAACAUACAGAUGGUGCCAAUGUUCAUAAUUUUGCAUCGAGAACGAUGCAAUGCAAAAUGCUUCCAAUGUGGACUAUAUCGAAUUUGAUCUAAUUAUUGUUCUAAUGUGAUGCCCUAGUAUAUACCAACCACAAAGGUAGUGUAUGGAUCAGGCCUAAGAGCAAUCAACCGAAAUACAUUUACCAUGGUCCACCAAAAACUGGAACAAGACCUUAGUGGUGGUAUAUGUUGUGUGACAGUAUUUUCGGAAAUGAGGCGGAUAGCAGUGAGGAACAGGAUAACCUUUUGGUUGUGACAUCUUGCCUUUGGAACACUCUUCCUCAUUCCAUUAAUCAGAUUCCCUCUUGGCUGAUCUUUAGAUGAAAAAAGGAAGAUGCUUUUUUUCUUCAGCUUCUGAAAUGGUUUGAUGAUCUGAAUUUUGAUGUUAUGUUUUUUUAAUUGCUAAUUUCUGAGUUUUAUUGCAAAUUUAUAUCUGUGUGUUUGUUAGCUGCCUCAGGAAUCUCCAUGACUAAAAGAUGAGAUAUAAAUAUUUCA